CUUUGGUUUGGUGGUUUGAUUUUAGUAUACCCUAAACUAAUUUAGUCCUAUCCAUACUAAAUUCUAGUUGGGCACUUGAGAAAGAGCUUUUAUUUCAUCCUUGGCUUUAAAAAAAUAAAGGCAAUAUGUUCUUUUUGAAGAGAAAACAACAAAACAGGUUUUGCAAGGGCUGGAUUUUCAGUUCUGGAGUUUCCCACACUAUCUAUGGCCUAAAGGCUUGGCAAGGGCAAACCAGGGCUGUUUAGGGUGAAAAAGAUAAAACUAAUAUCUUAAGCUUGUGUAGAGCUUUAUACUUUAAAAUGUCUUUUCAACCAUCGCUGACUGCAAACUUAAUCUCUGCCAUGCAGUGUGCUGGGGAAAUAAAGGAAUAAAGUGAGGUCCUUGUUCUCAAAGAGCUCAUGGGUUAGUAGAAGGAGAUCAACACUGAUGUAAGCAGAUGUAACAAGACAGUUUCAUGCCACCAUGCCAGGAGAGAGGAGGGAGGAGCCAAUUCUGCUGUGUAAAAGGUAAGGCAGUUAGAAGAGUAGGACAAAAGUAUUAUAGAAUAUUCAAGCUUAAAGGGACCUUAGAUUUUAUAUAAUCCUACACAAUCAUUCUAAAGAUGAAAGAACUUCAUCCCAGCUGUGAAAUGACUUACCUAAAGUCAAACAGCUGGAUUAGCAGUGCAGUGGGUCUAGGAUGCUGAACUUUCAGAUCUCAGGGUCGUAGUUCUUUUUUUCCCCACACUGCAUGGCAAUAUCUCACAUUCUCAGCAAGGGACCUGAGCACUUCCGUGGGGUACUGCACUGUGCUGGUGAAGAACCCACGAACUCCUCUGUCUUGCAUGCAGGGCUAGUUCAAGGCUGACUGGGCCUCCAGUCUGUGUUCUGUCUGCCUUUCUCACUCUUUCAUUGAUGACCAGUGUUUUGAUGCUCAGGGUCUCUCCAGGAAUCACAUAUACUCGUCCAUUCUAAGGAGUUAAUGGUUUCCUUUUGGAAUCUCUUCCAGAGUACAGCACUUAGUAUAAGGUCUCAGGAAAAGCAACUAAUAGCAGACUUUUAGGCACUUAGUAGAGAUAUAUUUGGGAGACAAGAAUCUUCCUGUGUCCCCUCAGUCACUCUUCACUGAAGACCAUUCAGUACGUCUAGUUUUAGAAGUGAAAUUGUCAGGGAGAACCUCUGCCUUGUUGUCAGAAGCAAUCCUUAGCUCGUGGAAGUGCAUUGGGAAGCCACACCAUGGCUCACAGGUGAAAUUAGAUAGAGGGGUAACUGGCAUUUUACGGGAGGAGACUGAGAAAGUGAUGUGAAGUCUAAGGUCACACAGCUGGCAGAGGACCUCCAGUGCACAUGCUGCCUGAUGGAGAUUUAAUUGACAUCCCUCUUACCAAGCUCUGGUUGAGUCCAGAUACUCACAGAUGCCGUGGGAAUGGUGAGGUUUGAGAGCGAGGUUUGGAGGCUGAAAGCUUUUCUGUAUGAUCAUGGAAAUCCAUUACCCUCUGUGCUCUUGGGAAUGCCUGCUCUUCUUCCCUGCAUUGGUCUGAAAAAGAACAAGCAAACAAAAGUAAGUAUUGCUUUCCCCUGUGUUUGACAAGCACUUUAUGUUGUGGGCCUCUUUUGUUACUUAAUUCCUAGCUGAUUUUUGGCUCUGUGUGCAGAAUAUUGGCUCUUGGGACAGUUGUGUGUGUAUAUGUAUUUUAAUCUCUGUGUGUCAAUAUACUAAAACAAUGAAGUCUCAAAGUUUGUUUCAGGCAUCUGAGUAUGGUAAAAUUUGGCUUCUGG
rnacentral:lncRNA from 10 species